AGAACUUGUUGUUCUCUUCUGGCAUGCUUUCUAAUUGACGCAUGCUCAGUCAAUCAUCUUAACUUUUUCCUUGGACUAUUAGAAGUCUAUAUAUUAAUAUUUCAACUAUAAGCAUAAAAAUAAACUAGCACCACUCUUAAUUAAUAUUUCUACUGAAGUAGUAUCACUUCCAAGCAGAGAUAAUGAAGGGGCCGGCUUUACCACAGCACUUUAAUCUGGAGCUGCAGUAAAUCUUGCUGACCGAAAGGUUGACAGUUUGAAGCCAGGUCAGGGUGAGCUCCUGACCUUCAGCCCAGCUCCCCUGCCCACAUAGCAGACAAAAAACAGCAAUGUGAGUAGAUGAAUAAGAACUGCAUUAAGCGGGGAGGUAUUUUCGGAGGAAAGUUCUUCGGCAAGGAGAUGGAGCGACAGCAACCCCUGCAGCCGGUACCAAGCACAGCCUCCAAAACAUACCAAAUGACCGCUUAGAAGACUCAGGGCAUACAAGCCAUGCGCUACUCCAAGACAGCUUCGGGAACCUCCUUUUUUCCACAGGAGAGGCAGGGAAGAAAUAACAACUUCACCCACAAGCUGCUCUCACCUGGCUUGUUUCUGCUCC